AUGCGCAACGGUGAGGGGACCGGCGGCGGAACAGCGGGGGACAUCGUGGAGGCCGGCGACGAGAGAGACCAGGGGCCGCGGUUCGUGGAGCCCGUGUCCGCGUCGCACGGGUUGCAGGCGCCGCGCGAUGGCAGCGACGACGACGAUGACUCCUUGGUCGAGAUCACCCUCGACCUUAGGGACGAUGACUCGAUUGUGGUGGUGAAACAGGAGACGCUGGCCAAGCGCCCGCCCUCGUACGGCCACGGCGUGCUCCGGGACGCCUCGGCGCGGGUCGAGCAGGCGCCGCAGGAGCUCCGGCGGCUCACGGCAUCAAGCAAGCAGGGACAGGGAGGCGCCCCGAGCUGCGUCGGUAGGUCCAUGACCGCCACCGCGCACUUGCUCAAGUUCCUCAGCCGGGUUGACGCCUCCGCCGGUUGGGCCGCCGUUGAGAGGCGCUUCGACGAAGAAGCCAAGGAUGGCCUCCUCCACCGGUCCAAGUUCGCCAAGUGCAUCGGGACGAAGGAGCUCGCGUUCGCCGGCGAGCUGUUCGACGCACUGGCAAGGCGUCGGCACAUCUCCGGAGAGAGCAUCAGCAAGCCGGAGCUGCUCGAGUUUUGGGACCAAAUUUCCGACCGCAGCUUCGAUGGCCGCCUGCAAAUCUUCAUGGAUAUGACUGAGAAGGACGGUGACGGGAGAGUCCUCGAGGAGGACAUCAAAGAGAUGAUCAUGCUGAGCGCGAAUGCAAACAACCUAACGAUGGACACACAACAGUCCCAAAAGUACGCCCGGCUCAUGAUGGAGGAACUGGACCCUGACGACCUCGGCUACAUCCAGUUGUUCGAGGUGGAGAGUCUCCUGCUGCAGACGGCGAGCCGUACGAAGCCGACCGGGACAACCCUCAGCAGCAAACUGAGCAUGCGCCUCCACCCGACGACGGCGGAGCCCAGCCCACUCCGGCGGUGGUACAGGCGUGCUAGCUACUCCCUGGGGGGCAACUGGCGCUGGCGAGCCCUGUACGCGUGCGAGCGAAUGGCGCGGCCGCUGCGGGGCAGCGCGCGGUCAGUGGCCAUACUGGAGGUGGCCGUGUUCCCGGAUCCUGCGAGCGCGAUGUCGAUGCGCUUCUCCAAGCCGCAGGGGUUCAGUUACAAGAGCGGACAGUACAUCUUCCUCAAAUGUCCUGCCGUCUCACGAUCCCAGUGGCACCCGUUCUACAUCACGUCGGCGCCACGGGACGAGCACGUCAGCGUCCACAUCAGGGCGGUCGGUGACUGGGCCAAGGAACUCCACAACGUCUUCCUAAAGGUUUGCCCGACGCCAACAAAGGAGAAGAGCGAGAUGAUCCGGGUGGAGUAUGACCUUGACAGCUCAUCGAAUCCGAGCUUUCCGAAGGUGGUGAUCGACGGGCCAUAUAGUGCGCCGACGCAGGACUACAAGAAGUAUGACACCGUCCUACUAGUGGGGACCGGCGUUGGUGCCGCACCCAUGAUCUCCCUCGUCAAGGACAUCGUCAACAACAUGAAGCAACCCAACUGCAGGGAUGGCGAAUCUAGGACCACUCAAACUUGUCGUGCCUACUUCUACUGGAUCACCCGGGAGCAAGGCUCCUUUGAGUGGUUCCGUGGAUUCAUGGACGAGAUGGUGGAGACAGGGGACGAGGGUGUCAUCGAGCUUCAUAACUACUAUAGCAGCAUCUACGAGGAGGGCGACACCCGGUCCGCGCUCAUCUCCUUGCUCCAGUCCCUUAACCACGCCAAGCACGACAUCGACAUGGUCUCUGGUGCUCGCGUCAAGACCCACUUCGGCCGACCAAACUGGUGGGAUGUCUAUGAGCGUAUCGCCCUCAGGCACCGUGAACAACGCGUUGGAGUAUUCUACUGUGGCACGCCGGUGCUGACAAAAGAGCUGAGCGAGCUUGCCCAUAAUUUCUCGAGAAAGACAAGCACAAAGUUUGAGUUUUAUAAUGCGAACUUCUAG
rnacentral:rRNA from 1 species